GUCAGGCAUGGUGGCCAAUGCCUGUAAUCCCAGCAAUAUGGGAGCCUGAGGCAGGAGGAUUGUAAGUUUGAGGACAGCGUCAGCAACUUAGCAUGACCCUGUCUCAA
rnacentral:sRNA from 1 species